rnacentral:rRNA from 1 species
CGCGUAGGCGGGUGAUCAAGUCAGGGGUGAAAUCUCUCGGCUCAACCGGAAAAGUGCCUUUGAUACUGGUCAUCUCGAGGGAGGUAGGGGCAUGUGGAACUUCCGGUGGAGCGGUGAAAUGCGUAGAUAUCGGAAGGAACGCCGGUGGCGAAAGCGACGUGCUGGACCUUUUCUGACGCUGAGGCGCGAAAGCCAGGGGAGCAAACG